AAAUUGAAGAGUUUGAUCAUGGCUCAGAUUGAACGCUGGCGGCAGGCCUAACACAUGCAAGUCGAACGGUAACAGGAAGCAGCUUGCUGCUUUGCUGACGAGUGGCGGACGGGUGAGUAAUGUCUGGGAAACUGCCUGAUGGAGGGGGAUAACUACUGGAAACGGUGGCUAAUACCGCAUAACGUCGCAAGACCAAAGAGGGGGACCUUCGGGCCUCUUGCCAUCAGAUGUGCCCAGAUGGGAUUAGCUUGUUGGUGAGGUAACGGCUCACCAAGGCGACGAUCCUAGCUGGUCUGAGAGGAUGACCAGCCACACUGGAACUGAGACACGGUCCAGACUCCUACGGGAGGCAGCAGUGGGAAUAUUGCACAAUGGGCGCAAGCCUGAUGCAGCCAUGCCGCGUGUAUGAAGAAGGCCUUCGGGUUGUAAAGUACUUUCAGCGGGAGGAAGGUGUUGUGGUUAAUAACCACAGCAAUUGACGUUACCCGCAGAAGAAGCACCGGCUAAGCCAGCAGCCGCGGUAAUACGGAAAGCGUUAAAAUUAGGGAAAGCGCAAGGGAAAAUGGCAGGCUGGAAACUGGCAGCUGUAGAAUAGAGAUCUGGAGGAAUACCGGUAAGCGGACAAAGACUGACGCUCAGGUGCGAAAGCGUGGGGAGCAAACAGGAUUAGAUACCGGUAGUCCACGCCGUAAACGAUGUCUACUUGGAGGUUGUGCCCUUGAGGCGUGGCUUCCGGAGCUAACGCGUUAAGUAGACCGCCGGGGAGUACGGCCGCAAGGUUAAAACUCAAAUGAAUUGACGGGGCCCGCACAAGCGGUGGAGCAUGUGGUUUAAUUCGAUGCAACGCGAAGAACCUUACCGGUCUUGACAUCCACAGAACUUUCCAGAGAUGGAUUUGUGCCUUCGGGAACUGUGAGACAGGUGCUGCAUGGCUGUCGUCAGCUCGUGUUGUGAAAUGUUGGGUUAAGUCCCGCAACGAGCGCAACCCUUAUCCUUUGUUGCCAGCGGUCCGGCCGGGAACUCAAAGGAGACUGCCAGUGAUAAACUGGAGGAAGGUGGGGAUGACGUCAAGUCAUCAUGGCCCUACGACCGUGGCUACACGUGCUACAAUGGCGCAUACAAAGAGAAGCGACCUCGCGAGAGCAAGCGGACCUCAUAAAGUGCGUCGUAGUCCGGAUUGGAGUCUGCAACUCGACUCCAUGAAGUCGGAAUCGCUAGUAAUCGUGGAUCAGAAUGCCACGGUGAAUACGUUCCCGGCCUUGUACACACCGCCCGUCACACCAUGGGAGUGGGUUGCAAAGAAGUAGGUAGCUUAACCUUCGGGAGGGCGCUUACCACUUUGUGAUUCAUGACUGGGGUGAAGUCGUAACAAGGUAACCGUAGGGGAACCUGCGGUUGGAUCACCUCCUUACCUGAAAGAAGC
rnacentral:rRNA from 1 species